CCUACGGGAGGCAGCAGUGAGGAAUAUUGGUCAAUGGGCGGAAGCCUGAACCAGCCAAGUAGCGUGCAGGAUGACGGCCCUACGGGUUGUAAACUGCUUUUAUACGGGAAUAACGCGCCUUACGUGUAGGGCUUUGCAUGUACCGUAUGAAUAAGGACCGGCUAAUUCCGUGCCAGCGGCCGCGGUAAUACGGAGGGUCCGGGCGUUAUCCGGAUUUAUUGGGUUUAAAGGGAGCGUAGGCGGCAUGUCAAGCGUGCGGUGAAAUGUCCGGGCUCAACCCGGGCCUUGGAGGGCAUACUGGCGUGCUUGAGUCCGCGGAAGGCAGGCGGAAUUCGUGGUGUAGCGGUGAAAUGCUUAGAUAUGACGAAGAACCCCGAUUGCGAAGGCAGCUUGCUGCAGCGGAACUGACGCUGAUGCUCGAAAGCGCGGGUAUCGAACAGGAUUAGAUACCCGUGUAGUC
rnacentral:rRNA from 1 species